UCACGACUCUCGGCAACGGAUAUCUUGGCUCUUGCAUCGAUGAAGAACGUAGCGAAAUGCGAUACUUGGUGUGAAUUGCAGAAUCCCGUGAACCAUCGAGUCUUUGAACGCAAGUUGCGCCCGAGACCUUUAGGUUGAGGGCACACCUGCUUGGGCGUCAUGC
rnacentral:rRNA from 2 species